rnacentral:lncRNA from 1 species
GAAGUGACCCACGUGCUUCUUAUUUCGCCUAUCUUGGUACCCGGUUAACUUUUUACUAUUGACCCGAAGUUGGGGGCGUUGCGGGAGCUGUGACCUACCCCAGGCCGUGGUGAGUGAGCCAUGGUAUCUGAUCCCCAGGCUGACCCUGAUUAUGCCAUUGCCAUGACAGAGGCGCAGCCUUUAGACCGGCCCUGGGAACCUAUGUUGUGGUUAGGGUCACAUUCUCGGGGCUGCGUGGGUUCAGGCCCAGGGUUUUGUGUGCUCUGCCCCUAAUGUCGGUCCUCUGGCUAGGAGUGAUUUCGAGAUACUGAGAGCUCUCGGUUUCCAGCUCCGAGCCCCAUGACAUCUUGAGUGACCUUGAACUGGACACUGUCCCCUUUAAGGGCCUCAUUUCCACUUCUGGACUAAAGACCAGGAGGCUAUUUUCUCCACGGUGCUAAGUUGACAUGGAUCCGCUCAGAGCCCAGCAACUGGCAGCGGAGCUGGAGGUGGAGAUGAUGGCCGACAUGUACAACAGAAUGACCAGUGCCUGCCACCGGAAGUGCGUGCCUCCCCACUACAAGGAGGCAGAGCUGUCCAAAGGCGAGUCUGUGUGUCUGGACCGAUGCGUAUCCAAGUACUUGGACAUCCAUGAGAGGAUGGGAAAAAAGUUGACAGAGUUGUCUAUGCAGGAUGAAGAGCUGAUGAAGCGGGUACAGCAGAGCUCUGGGCCUGCAUGAGGCCCCGGGCCAUGUACACCCGUGGUGCACCUUGCCACCUCUGAUUAAAGUGUCCCUAAUGGAUGUCACAUGUGAAAACUGUCAUACUUAGGCCCUUGAGCAUCUCCAGGACCCCUGCGUGUGGUAGAGCUCUCCUGGCUAAGGAAGGGGACUUGUCAUGCUGGUUUGUGACUGUGAAUGUGUGUAUAUGUAUAUAUCAUAUUAAAACAAAUUUGUGCAAA